rnacentral:sRNA from 1 species
AUAUUUUUUCACCUAAAAUAUUCCAAAAUAAAUAUUCCGCCAAAAUUUUCCCGCCAAAAAUUUUCGAAAAAAAAAUUUCCGCCAAAAUUUUGUUUUCAAAAAUAUUUUUCCCGCCAAACUUUUUUUUUGGCGGGAAAUAGAUUUACAAGGGAUUUUAAAAGAGUUUUAAAGAUUUACAAGGGAUUUUAAAGAGGUUUUAUAAGAUUUACAAGGGAUUUUAAAAGGGUGAUUUACAAGGGAUUUUAAAAGGUUUUUAAAAGAUUUACAAAAGAUUUUAAAGGGAUUUAAAAGAUUUACAAAGGUCUUUUAAAGAUUUUCAAAGGAUUUAAAAUUGUUUUAAAAGGAUUUUAAAAUAUUUACAAGGGUUUUUAAAAGGGUUUACAAUAUUUACAAUGGAUUUUAAAGGGCUUUAAAAGAUUUACAAAUGAUUUUUAAAGAUUUUUAAAGGGUUUAAAAGUGUUUCAAUUAUAUGUUUCUAUUGGAUGAGGGUAAUUUGGUCAUUUUGUUCAAGGGAAUGGGUGAUUUUAAAAAUGGACAACAUAAAAGGGUAUUGUUGCAAAAGGGUAGUAAAAAAAUGGUAGUUUUGCAAAUCUCCCUAACUUAUUUCCCGCAAAUUUUCGUUAUAUUAUUUAGUUAACUUAUAGUCCCCGUAAAUUUAAAUAACUUAUAUGGUAUGUCAUUAUGU